CCUGCUACAAAAUGGCCGCCGCCUGGCCAUAGAGAGGGAAAGCUCGAGUAUACGCAUUUGAUGAGCCGGAGGGAGCCCUUCUUCCCGUGUGUCUGGGACGCAGGCAUCCAGUACGCAGGUAUUCGGGACAGACAGAAGGAAACGCAGAAGCCCGCGGUUCAGGGUACCCAGGUAUCCAGGGCCUGCACACAGAGGACCCAAGUAUCCACUACACACAGACAGACAGAUUCAGGGAGCCCAGAUGUCCGAUGUGGGCAAGUAACCAUGCAGACUUCUCAAAUGCAAGACCCAUACAGAGAACCCAUGUUUCCAGGAUUCCCACUCCCAGUGGACUGAGGCCA